ACGCUCGACACCUACGGGGGGCAGCAGUCGGGAAUAUUGCGCAAUGGAGGAAACUCUGACGCAGUGACGCCGCGUAUAGGAAGAAGGUUUUCGGAUUGUAAACUAUUGUCGUUAGGGAAGAAAAAGGAACAGUACCUAAGGAGGAAGCUCCGGCUAACUACGUGCCAACAGCCGCGGUAAUCUGAGCGGGCUGGCAAGGC
rnacentral:rRNA from 1 species